GGCGUAACCAUGGUUUAGACAUUGGGGGGGUCCAAUUUUUUAUUAUUAUUUGUUAAGUGCAUUGCCUACAAUUCUAUAUUUAUAUAUGAAAAUGUGGACAUUUAGAACAUAGUUUCGAGGACUACAUUGACCAUUUGAAUUCACAUCUAAAGGAAUAGUGUGAUAAUGUAAUGUCUGCCCCGCCCCCCCCCCACACACACAUACACACACACUUUGUUUUGGUUAGUUGCUUACUGACCUUAAACACACCUACCAAUUACAAUUAUGCUCUUCCAGUAGUACUGUAGCAAAAAGGAUAGCUUCCAAUGGAAAAAUACCACAUACCCAUGACCACAUGUCAUUAUGUUAUCAGAAGAACAGUGGCUGACCUUCGUGAUCAUUUUGGUCUAUAUAUUCUGCUUGUAUUAGAAGUAGGCUACUUUUAUGUAUUGCUGACAUGUAGGCCCAGGUUAUAAACAAUGUUGUAAGGCUGUCUAGUCUCAUAUUCAAAAUUCUCACCUUAUCACCUGCAUGUCCAGAGCAUGUCCCUGUCUGGCCACUGCUUUCAGCAUGCCUGUCAAGUUACUUACUGUCUGAAAAAAACUGCGUAUGCUUGGCUGUUGGUCCAGUUUCUUCUGCUUUUUAGGUAACCUCAAAUCCUCCAUUGCUCAACUUUACUUUCUUGGCUCUCACUGAAGAAAGAGUGUGGGGUAACCAUGACAACGCAGAAAGUCGCGAGGUGGUUUCAAACUAAAAGUGUACAAUUAGGAGGGGGGAUUCACACACUCAACAAACGGAAAUAAAUUGAAAAUAAAUAAGACAUAACCAGUGAUGUUGAUAGGUUUUCAAUGUAGUGAGUCCCCGGGACCCACAGGUGGCGAGUUGGGUGGGUCCCUGAGAAAUUCAAUGGGUCCCGACUCCCCAGUUUAAAAAAUGUGUUUCUUUUUUAUUAUUAUUCUAUUUCUUAAAAUAAAUUAAUAAUGUUAAACUCCUUGAUGGUGGUAUGAUAUGGUUAGAGCUGGAGUACUCAACCGUUCAUGUUUAACACUAGAAACGCCGGGCCAUUUUUACUUACUCCUAGCGCCGCAAGAGGGGUCAAAUGACCCCUAAGUAAUUUUAAUGAGAGGCUGUGCAUUUGCACAUAAUGAUCACUAGGUGGCGCCAAUGAGCUAUUACCGCGCGAGCGCCACAUUUGUGUGUGUGUGUGUGUGUGUUAGAUGCGCAGAGGGUUGAAACAGCGCUUGUCCGAUCUGCUCACAAGAAGGUUUCUUUGGCCAGUUACUGUGAUUAAACACGAGUUGUUUAAUGUUCACAA